rnacentral:misc_RNA from 1 species
UUAAGCAAUUGGGGCUUUCGGGUGGAAAAAGGAUGAAGCAAUCUGAAAUUCAAUUGAUAUCUAAACAAACAUAGUUCCCAGGAUAGAAUUGAAACUGGGUGUAUUAUUACAAAAAAGCUCAAAAGGCAACAUCAUGAUAAUCAAAUAUAGCCUCAAGAUCUUAGUUCACCAACCACUGUGUGAACCGGCAGAAGAUCUAGCAACUAGCCCUCCAAUGCCGAAGCUCCAGAUAUAAUUUCAAUCAACUCAGUGGUGAUAGACGCUUGCCGGGUUCUGUUAUAAGUUAAUGUGAGACGAUCAAGCAUUUCCCCAGCGUUUCUGCUAGAGCUGUCCAUUGCAGACAUCCUUGCACCUUGUUCACUGCAUGCAUUUUCCAAUACGGCGUUGAACAGUACACAAGAAAACUGGAACUCUGUAAGAUUUUGGAGAAUCUCAGCCUUUGUCUCGCCGCCUUCAAUCUCAUAUGAGUCCAGGUCGCCAAG